rnacentral:rRNA from 1 species
GAUCCUGGCUCAGGAUGAACGCUAGCUACAGGCUUAACACAUGCAAGUCGGAGGGGCAGCAUGACGAUAGCUUGCUAUUGUUGAUGGCGACCGGCGCACGGGUGAGUAACGCGUAUCCAACCUUCCCGUUGCUAGGGGAUAACCUUGCGAAAGUAAGACUAAUACCCUAUGAAGUUCUUCGCAGGCAUCUAAAGAGAACGAAAGAUUUAUCGGCAACGGAUGGGGAUGCGUCUGAUUAGG